rnacentral:rRNA from 1 species
AGUGAACGCUGGCGGCAGGCCUAACACAUGCAAGUCGAACGGCAGCACAGGAGAGCUUGCUCUCUGGGUGGCGAGUGGCGGACGGGUGAGGAAUACGUCGGAAUCUGCCUAUUUGUGGGGGAUAACGUAGGGAAACUUACGCUAAUACCGCAUACGACCUACGGGUGAAAGCGGAGGACCUUCGGGCUUCGCGCAGAUAGAUGAGCCGACGUCGGAUUAGCUUGUUGGCGGGGUAAAGGCCCACCAAGGCGACGAUCCGUAGCUGGUCUGAGAGGAUGAUCAGCCACACUGGAACUGAGACACGGUCCAGACUCCUACGGGAGGGCAGCAGUGGGAUAUUGGACAAUGGGCGCAAGCCUGAUCCAGCCAUGCCGCGUGU